rnacentral:rRNA from 1 species
UACGUAGGGUGCAAGCGUUAUCCGGAAUUAUUGGGCGUAAAGAGCUCGUAGGCGGUUUGUCGCGUCUGCUGUGAAAACUGGAGGCUCAACCUCCAGCCUGCAGUGGGUACGGGCAAACUAGAGUGCGGUAGGGGGAGAUUGGAAUUCCUGGUGUAGCGGUGGAAUGCGCAGAUAUCAGGAGGAACACCGAUGGCGAAGGCAGAUCUCUGGGCCGUAACUGACGCUGAGGAACGAAAGCUAGGGGGAGCAAACAGG